GUCCGAGUGGUUUAAGGAGCUGGUCUUGAAAACCAGUGACUUCGAAAGGGGCCGUGGGUUCGAAUCCCACC
rnacentral:tRNA from 1 species